UGGCAUUUUUAUUAAUUGUCGCGCCUCCUAGUUGUCGAUAGUUCAACCACACUAUUUCCUUAUCCCGAGACAAUUUUAUGACCACUCACGGGCUUAAUUUGCUUGUUUGUCUGAUGAGUUCGUUUCUUUUAACGGCAAUUGUUUGUACAUCUUUUAUAUUAAAUGUAACAAAGAAAUAAGAAAAUCCAAUCAAAGGUCUUUCCAAGUCGGACAGUGAUUAGAAGCGGACGUGGUCCCAGAACAUUGUGGAAUCUUUAUAAAAGUGACUGUUAGCUGUUCGAAGAAGUAGAUAUUUGGAAAGUACAUAAAAGUAUAGUGGAAAUUAGGCAGGCCCAAGUGAGAGGAAACGCAGAUUUCCUAUAUCUUUUAAAGAUAUUAGCUGCCAUCAAACCAGCUAAACUUUGAAUCUGCUGCUCGAGGCUCAGGUAAAUGCGUUUUGUUAUGUGUUUUGAUUGGAAUGAGGGUGUGCCGUCUGAAUGAUUACCGGGUGCUAAUCGACAUGUGUGUGCUUUCUUUUCUCCGUGAAGGAACCUAAAUCCUUCACGCGAAGGUGUUUCUGCCGGGUUCUAGACCCGGAAGUAGGUUGUAGGGGGAUUCGACCGCUUCGAGUCCUCUAGGUGGAUCCGGAAGCUUGGCGGUUUGUAGGCUAUAAGCCUCAUCGUCCGGCCAGUGAGACACCAUCGCACCUACGGGCCUGGGAGAAUCCACGUCUCCCGAGAAUCACCCUCCGAUCGCCAAUUGUCGGAAGAAUUCUCCAUCUCGUUGGCCUCGAGACAGCUGGCAGUUCGACGCAAACCGAUCUGUACGAGAUAGUGUCGGCGCACACUACGAGCG